rnacentral:lncRNA from 10 species
CGGGGUGCACGUGCAACGGAGACACCGCCCCUAAACCUGGGGCCCUGAGGCUAACAGCUAACAGUGGCCCUGCCGUUACGGCCAGUGUCAGGUGCCAGCUGGGCUGGACCAGGAAUUCCCAGAAACCUGGCAAGGCAUGAUUUGGGGUGGGUCGUGCUGAGGGCCACACCAUCCGCUUCCCCGCUUCUGAGGCCUUCCGACCUGGGCUGAGCCCGGCUACCCGAGUCCCGGGGUCUCCGGCUCACAGACUUCUCGGCCUCCGUAAUUGCAAACGCCAGCUCCCCCAGUCCAUCUCCUGUCCUGGAUCUACGUCUAUAUCCUACUGGAUCCGUCUCUCUGGAGAACCCUAAUACAGCUGUCAACACAAGGAUGAACUAACUACAAGAAGGCCUGAAUAGGAACUCUCCCAGGGGACGAAGAGGUUUCAGCCUUCAGCAAAGGAUGGUUCAUAGAAACCGUUCGCAUAGUCGGCCCUCCACGGACUGCAACCCUAGUUAAUAUUACCUACAGUAAACAAAAAAUUCAAGUAUAGAUUUUAGUCUAAAGCAAAUAGGAAAUGUCGCUUCCCUGGACGUUGGGAGAAGCAAACACGAAUCCUCUCCUGAGGCCGGAAGCGGUGGCUCACGCCUGUAAUCCCAGCACUUUGGGAGGCUGAGGCGGGCGGAUCAUUUUAUAACUAUCUAUUAAAUGUUUAAGUUUUCAGUCCAUUUUUCCUGUCUACAUGGAAUUGCCGACUGCACAAAGAACACAUGAGGGCUCUCUCAAGGCCAUCAUUUCCGCGGAGUCCCAUUUCCUGACUCAAAUGACAAGCUCUCAACUUUCUACUCAAGAUCAUUGAAACAUCUGUGUUGAUUAUUUGUAACCGGGAUAUGCUUUAUUUAUUAGAUAAGAGAC